rnacentral:sRNA from 1 species
UAUUUUGUACAGUUUAUAAAUAAUUUAUUAGUAAACAAAAUGUGAACAAUUUAUAUAAAAACCAUGUCAGGAAAGGAUUUUGAUGGAGAUUCAUGUUAUGCCAUUUCAAUGUGUUGUUCCUUGAUGCUUUGUAUCAUCUUUGUGUUAUGUUAUUUAUUAUUUCCAUUAUUUUGUUUUAGCAUUCCAAAUGUUUUCAAAUACUGGAGGCUAACACAAACUCCUGAAAUAUUGGACUAAGUCAUAACAUGAUCAUUCUUAGGGAAAUUUACCAUGUUUUGAGCAAAGCUACAUAUUGAUUAAAGAAGUAAAGUGAAAUAAAUGGAUAAUAAUAAAUUCAAUAUUUUUAUGAACUAAUGAAAACCAGUAGCAAAUGUAAACUUGUAACUUGUGUACAUUGGAUUCAGUAGUUGUCUAUAGUUUCAUUUUCUCAGUAUUUUUGCACCAGUGUUGUUGGAAGGAUAUUUAUUGUAAACAAUUUUAAAAUAUAAGUUCAAAGUACCAGUAUGUUGCAAUUAAUUGCAGUCUUGUGUGAAAAUCUAUUUGAAGAAACAAAAACGCUUUGAAAUUGUCACCAUGAUUUUCUCAGUAUUUUUUACUUUUGUGAAUGCACUUUGGCAGUACAAUUGUGAUUGAAAAUAAUAGCCCACAUUGGAAAAUUAAGUCAUUUUAUAUGUAUAUCAAAGGCAGAAUGUGUUGGUCUAUCGUAAACAAACUUCCUACAGCACUGGUGAAGCUGAAAGUGCAAUAUAUGUGUAUAUGUUUGUGAUGGGCCAUUUGCUUACUCAAAAACUAACGAAGUAUAAUCUGUUUAGACUUCUAGUACAUUCUAGUCCAAAGACAAUUUAUAUAUGUAUGUAUAUAAAAUGAAAAAAGAUAAAACAUGCUGUUUAAAAACUGCUGUCAUUUUAAUAAUACAUUAAAGUUUGUGUUUAAUGGAGUUGUAAGUCUUGUCCAGAAAGAGUUGAGCUCAAACCUUUUGUUUCAUUUGUGUAUCCUUGAAUAUCUUGUUAAUUAUGUUACAUUAUUAGAGGAGCAUAAUGUUGGAGAUGACUGAAUCUGAAUUUGCAAAUGGGGUAAAAUAUAUAAAUUUCUGGAUAUCCUCUUGAUACAAGAAAUGGCUCCUCUUCGACAAACAAGUGCUACUUCCACCAAAUGAAAUCCAGUUAUUAAUGGGUUAUUGCGACUUAUUAAUAAAACCAGCCCUUAUCAGAAGUUUAAAAUUUUUCACAUGCACAUUACCAUAGAUGCCAAAUGGCUUCUUUAACUUUUUCAGUUUGUUUUAGUUUCAUCUUUUUUUCAAGAAUUUUGCUUAAGUAUAGUGUGAACUUGUUUAAUUGUUUAUCUGUCAUCUGGCAAUCUAAAGAAUGUACACAUAUUAGAUUAAACUUGAUAAUUUUUAUCUUGAAAUAUUUUAUAUUUUUCAUUGCUAAUUUAUUGAAGGUCCAAUGUUUUUAGAUUUCAGAAAACAAAAUUUAUCAUCAUUAUGUUUACACAAAAUACAUGUUCAAUAAAUCUUAAAUUUU